GACAGAGGUGGCAAGCGUUGUUCGGAAUCACUGGGCUUAAAGGGCGCGUAGGCGGUAUUGCAAGUGUGAGGUGGAAUUCCACGGCCUAACCGUGGAACUGCCUUGCAGACUGCAGUACUUGAGUCGGCGAGGGGAAGACGGAAUUCCUGGUGUAGCGGUGAAAUGCGUAGAUAUCAGGAGGAAGGCCGGUGGCGAAGGCGGUCUUCUGGCGCUUGACUGACGCUGAGGCGCGAAAGCGUGGGGAG
rnacentral:rRNA from 1 species